CCUUGCCCGAAUCGUCUUGCCAGUUCCCGGCGCGGAGACGCUGCUCUUUGGACUCCAGCGCGCACUGACCGUUUUGUUUGGGGACUCCAUGAGCACCCUCCCUGGUCGGAAUAGGAGCAGUUAUGUGAAACCGCCCAAAACUGGACAGACUUGGAUCCCAAGGACGAAGCGAACAAGAUGACUUCUACUACAUUAUUUGUAGGACAAUCAGCACCAGAUAUAAGGAGAAAGCUUCAGAAAGUAGAUGGUGCACGACAUUGUUUACCUCGCGGACGGCUCCUGUGGCACUGGCUCGGCAUUGCCCGAUGCACCUUGGCGGCAGCGGCUCUUCAGCAGCAGCAGCAAUGUCGAGACAAAACCGCAUUUAGUACCGGUUCUCUACACCACCCCGUGGCUCAACAUUGCAGCUUGGCAGCAGGAGAGAGAGAAAGAGAGGAAGAAAGAAAGAAAGCAAGGAAGGGAGAGAGAAUUAGGGGCAGGGGGAAGACGCAGGAAGAAUAAAAGGAACAACAUGGGUUUGGGUAAAAAAUGAAGUGCUUAACAGUGAUUAAACAGAGGUGUUGCUCAAUGCAAGCUUAUUCUUUA